rnacentral:rRNA from 1 species
GCAGAACGCGAAGAACCUUACCUGGGCUCGAACGGCGGACGACGUCUCUUAGAAAUAGGAGAGUUUCCUUCGGGAACGGCCGUCGAGGUGCUGCAUGGCUGUCGUCAGCUCGUGUCGUGAGAUGUUGGGUUAAGUCCCGCAACGAGCGCAACCCUUGUCCUGUGUUGCUAAUCUUCGGAUGCACUCUCAGGAGACCGCCAACGACAAGCUGGAGGAAGGUGGGGAUGAUGUCAAGUCAGCAUGGCCUUUAUGUCCAGGACUACACACGUGCUACAAUGGGCAGGACAGACCGUUGCAAACCCGCGAGGGGGAGCUAAUCGGAGAAACCUGUUCUCAGUUCGGAUUGCAGGCUGCAACUCGCCUGCAUGAAGCUGGAAUCGCUAGUAAUGGCAGAUCAGCAUGCUGCCGUGAAUACGUUCCCGGGUCUUGUACACACCG